rnacentral:rRNA from 1 species
UGAGGAAUAUUGGUCAAUGGGCGAGAGCCUGAACCAGCCAAGUCGCGUGAAGGAAGACAGUCCUAAGGAUUGUAAACUUCUUUUAUACGGGAAUAACGGGCGAUACGAGUAUUGCUUUGAAUGUACCGUAAGAAUAAGCAUCGGCUAACUCCGUGCCAGCAGCCGCGGUAAUACGGAGGAUGCGAGCGUUAUCCGGAUUUAUUGGGUUUAAAGGGUGCGUAGGUUGUUCGGUAAGUCAGCGGUGAAACCUGGGCGCUCAACGUUCAGCCUGCCGUUGAAACUGCCGGGCUUGAGUUCAGUGGCGGCAGGCGGAAUUCGUGGUGUAGCGGUGAAAUGCAUAGAUAUCACGAGGAACUCCGAUUGCGAAGGCAGCUUGCCAUACUGCGACUGACACUGAAGCACGAAGGCGUGGGUAUCAAACAGG